AGAGUUUGAUCAUGGCUCAGAUUGAACGCUGGCGGCAGGCCUAACACAUGCAAGUCGAGCGGUAGCACAGAGAGCUUGCUCUCGGGUGACGAGCGGCGGACGGGUGAGUAAUGUCUGGGAAACUGCCUGAUGGAGGGGGAUAACUACUGGAAACGGUAGCUAAUACCGCAUAAUGUCGCAAGACCAAAGUGGGGGACCUUCGGGCCUCAUGCCAUCAGAUGUGCCCAGAUGGGAUUAGCUAGUAGGUGGGGUAAUGGCUCACCUAGGCGACGAUCCCUAGCUGGUCUGAGAGGAUGACCAGCCACACUGGAACUGAGACACGGUCCAGACUCCUACGGGAGGCAGCAGUGGGGAAUAUUGCACAAUGGGCGCAAGCCUGAUGCAGCCAUGCCGCGUGUGUGAAGAAGGCCUUCGGGUUGUAAAGCACUUUCAGCGGGGAGGAAGGCGUUGAGGUUAAUAACCUUCGUCGAUUGACGUUACCCGCAGAAGAAGCACCGGCUAACUCCGUGCCAGCAGCCGCGGUAAUACGGAGGGUGCAAGCGUUAAUCGGAAUUACUGGGCGUAAAGCGCACGCAGGCGGUCUGUCAAGUCGGAUGUGAAAUCCCCGGGCUCAACCUGGGAACUGCAUUCGAAACUGGCAGGCUAGAGUCUUGUAGAGGGGGGUAGAAUUCCAGGUGUAGCGGUGAAAUGCGUAGAGAUCUGGAGGAAUACCGGUGGCGAAGGCGGCCCCCUGGACAAAGACUGACGCUCAGGUGCGAAAGCGUGGGGAGCAAACAGGAUUAGAUACCCUGGUAGUCCACGCCGUAAACGAUGUCGAUUUGGAGGUUGUGCCCUUGAGGCGUGGCUUCCGGAGCUAACGCGUUAAAUCGACCGCCUGGGGAGUACGGCCGCAAGGUUAAAACUCAAAUGAAUUGACGGGGGCCCGCACAAGCGGUGGAGCAUGUGGUUUAAUUCGAUGCAACGCGAAGAACCUUACCUGGUCUUGACAUCCACAGAACUUUCCAGAGAUGGAUUGGUGCCUUCGGGAACUGUGAGACAGGUGCUGCAUGGCUGUCGUCAGCUCGUGUUGUGAAAUGUUGGGUUAAGUCCCGCAACGAGCGCAACCCUUAUCCUUUGUUGCCAGCGGUUAGGCCGGGAACUCAAAGGAGACUGCCAGUGAUAAACUGGAGGAAGGUGGGGAUGACGUCAAGUCAUCAUGGCCCUUACGACCAGGGCUACACACGUGCUACAAUGGCAUAUACAAAGAGAAGCGACCUCGCGAGAGCAAGCGGACCUCAUAAAGUAUGUCGUAGUCCGGAUUGGAGUCUGCAACUCGACUCCAUGAAGUCGGAAUCGCUAGUAAUCGUAGAUCAGAAUGCUACGGUGAAUACGUUCCCGGGCCUUGUACACACCGCCCGUCACACCAUGGGAGUGGGUUGCAAAAGAAGUAGGUAGCUUAACCUUCGGGAGGGCGCUUACCUCAUUCUGA
rnacentral:rRNA from 1 species